GACGAACCGUGCGAACGUUGUUCGGAUUCACUGGGCUUAAAGGGCGCGUAGGCGGGCGGGCAAGUCCGGGGUGAAAGCGUGCGGCUCAACCGCACAAGGGCCUUGGAUACUGCCUGUCUCGAGGGAGGUAGGGGCGUGCGGAACUUCCGGUGGAGCGGUGAAAUGCGUAGAUAUCGGAAGGAACACCGGUGGCGAAAGCGGCGCGCUGGGCCUCUUCUGACGCUGAGGCGCGAAAGCCAGGGGAGCAAACGGG
rnacentral:rRNA from 1 species